rnacentral:rRNA from 1 species
UACGGAGGGUGCGAGCGUUGUCCGGAAUUAUGGGGCGUAAAGAGCUCGUAGGCGGUUUGUCGCGUCUGCUGUGAAAAUCCAGGGCUUAACCCUGGACCUGCAGUGGGUACGGGCAGACUAGAGUGCGGUAGGGGAGAUCGGAAUUCCUGGUGUAGCGGUGAAAUGCGCAGAUAUCAGGAGGAACACCGGUGGCGAAGGCGGAUCUCUGGGCCGUAACUGACGCUGAGGAGCGAAAGCAUGGGGAGCGAACAGG